GACGUAGGGCGCGAGCGUUGUCCGGAUUUAUUGGGCGUAAAGAGCUCGUAGGCGGCUCGUUGCGUCGGCUGUGAAAACCCGCAGCUCAACUGUGGGCUUGCAGCUGAUACGGGCGGGCUGGGAUUCGGUAGGGGAGACUGGAAUUCCUGGUGUAGCGGUGAAAUGCGCAGAUAUCAGGAAGAACACCUAUGGCGAAGGCAGCUCUCUGGGACGGUACUGACGCUGAGACGCGAAAGCGUGGGGAGCGAACAGG
rnacentral:rRNA from 1 species